GGAGGGGUGGUCGAGUGGUUAAUGGCACCGGACUGUAAAUCCGGCGGCUUAACAGCCUACCCAGGUUCGAAUCCUGGCCCCUCCACCA
rnacentral:tRNA from 1 species